rnacentral:rRNA from 1 species
UACGUAGGGGGCGAGCGUUGUCCGGAUUUAUUGGGCGUAAAGAGCUCGUAGGCGGUUCGAUAAGUCGGACGUGAAAUCUCCACGCUCAACGUGGAGGGGCCGUUCGAUACCGUCGUGACUCGAGUCCGGUAGGGGAGUGUGGAAUUCCCGGUGUAGCGGUGAAAUGCGCAGAGAUCGGGAGGAACACCCGUAGCGAAGGCGGCACUCUGGGCCGGUACUGACGCUGAGGAGCGAAAGCGUGGGGAGCAAACAGG